UUACUAAUACAACCUUUUUGUAAAGUGUUACCGUCUUCAGAAAGACAGAUACUAACUAAAUUAAACUAAGUAACUAACCCAGCCGGCACACGACCGACCUUCAACGUUGAAAUAUGGUUGAAAUAAGGUCAGAUGUGUUUUGAACGUUGAAAUAAUGUUGAUAGAACGUUUAAUGUUGAACGGUUGAAAAACAGCCUGCAUAUGACAAGGCUUCAACGUUGAAAUGUGGUUGAAAAUACGUCAGUUGUUGCUUUAAUGUUGAAACAAUGUUGAAUGAUAAAUGGUUGAAAAAAGUUACAGAAAUCCUUGUACAAAUCAACGUUGACAUUUUUUAUCAUGGUCUGUAUGUUGAAUUAACGUCAUGGCUUCACCCAAUAUUCAACAUGUUUGGUUACCAUGGUAUCGGAGGACUCGGCGCACGCGGCCACGCGCAGCGCUUCACUUCACUUAAUUACUAACACCUGACCUGCAGUGCAGCAGAAUUCAGAGAGACGCACUCACUUGCACAGCAUUGAAUGGAAAAGGCUUUGUCCAUGUCCAGUUGAGGGCAUCAAGAACACGCAGAUAGCAUAAACCUGUGUCAGCCUGGACAGACUGUAGAUCUGCUACUCAACGCCAAGGCUUUUGUAUGCAUGUCUGACUACUACAGUGUUCUUUAAAGGUUUUCUGGAAGCUCCAUUUGAGGGCAUCAAGGACAUACUGAUGGC
rnacentral:lncRNA from 1 species